GGUGGCUCAGUGGUUAAAGUAUGUGGCUGCUAACCAAAAGGUUGGUGGUUCAAACCCACCAGCCA
rnacentral:tRNA from 1 species